rnacentral:lncRNA from 1 species
UCGGACCCAGGCGGGGGUCCCCGGGGAGGGGGAAUGGCGCCCGGGAAAGCGGCAGAAGCGCGCCGGGGGCCGGGGGGGGCCGGGGGGGCCGGGGGCCCUCCCCCGGGACAGCGAGACUUGUCCGUCCCGGGUCCCCAGCGGAAGCCCGCGAGGCAGAUCCUGCGGUCAUCUGUGGCCCCAUCGGAGCGAUGGGAAACUUGAAGCUCCGAGGCGCGAAGGGACUUCCCCAAGCUUUCCUGGCCGACAAGUUGCGGCCCGACCAGGCUGCCCCCGCCUCGCCGCGCCCCAUCACCCCGAUCUCCCGGCUCGCUCGCUCGCUUUCCCAAAGCUGCCGUCACCUGGAGCUCGGGAACCUCCACGGGGCCCCGCAGAGUGGUGGGAGCGCGGCCGCCCGCUGUCCUUGGGAAGCCGGGGCUGGGAGGCGGGGGGCGGGGGGCGCCGGGGCAGGAGCCGGGCGGCCGGGGCUCCGCGGCUCGGCGUUCGGACGCCUCCCGGCCCUCUCCAGGGCUCCCCUUUGGCCCCAAACCGCUGACUUCAGCCCCGCGGCCGCGAGGACGCCCAGAGGGUUAGAGGCGGGACACCCCGGCCAGACAGCCACAGAGGCGGCGGCGGCAGCCACAGGGAGCUCGGGCUCUCGGGCCCCUCGCGCUGGGGACGGGACCCACGGCCAAGGGCGCCCCGCCGCUGGCCGCGAGGAGCGGUCACGGAAGCCGGGGCGGGGAAGGUAGGAGAGCAGCGGAAAGCCGCGCGGGCCGGGGGCACAGGGAGGCCCAGGGAGACCCCGGCGGCCCCUGCGCGGCAGCUUCCCGGCUCGCGCCCCGAGGGGCCCAGGACAGCGGGGCGCUGAGCGGAGGGCAUCUGCCAGCAGAGAGCCGAGCCCCGCAGCCCGCGCUCGGCGCCCCGAAAGCCGCUUCCCCGCUUCGCUCCGGAGUCCCGGCGGCCGCCGAGGCAGCUGCGCAGCGCGACCAUCCAGCCGGGAGCAAGCCCCGGAGCAGCCGCUGGCCAGGUGCGGGCGCCGGGCUCCGGGGGCACCUGCCCGAGGGGCGCACGGGCCCGGGGGGAGGGGGACACCAAUGGGGCUCGCCAGGGGCCCUCGGGCGAAGUGUCUGCCUCGCGGCCCCCG